rnacentral:rRNA from 2 species
GCGGCGCGUCCCGCGCCGUCCGAGGACCCCUCUUCCAUCACUCCAGUGAUUUGAUGUCGUCGGAGCGUGAAACCGAAUAGCGUAAAAACUUUCAACAACGGAUCUCUUGGU